AAUGAACGCUGGCGGCGCGCCUAAUACAUGCAAGUCGAGCGAGAAGACGUAGCAAUACGUUUGUAAAGCGGCGAACGGGUGAGGAAUACAUGGGUAACCUACCCUAGAGUGGGGAAUAACUAGCCGAAAGGUUAGCUAAUACCGCGUACGCUCCUUGGACUUCGGUUCAGGGAGGAAAGCGAUACCGAGGGUAUCGCGCUCUUGGAUGGGCUCAUGUCCUAUCAGCUUGUUGGGAGGUAACGGCUCACCAAGGCUUCGACGGGUAGCUGGUCUGAGAGGACGAUCAGCCACACUGGCACUGCGACACGGGCCAGACUCCUACGGGAGGCAGCAGUAAGGAAUAUUGCGCAAUGGGCGAAAGCCUGACGCAGCGACGCCGG
rnacentral:rRNA from 1 species